rnacentral:lncRNA from 1 species
CCCUUCACUUUAUCUCCUCACUCAGUUUCUCUCUAUGAACCCUAGAUCCGCUGCCCUAAAACUCCACCAUCCCAGCCGGCGGCGGACCACCAUAUCAACCCCAAAUUCCUCCUCCAUAAUCCUCAUAUCCCAUUGAAUAUGAAUCCAACAAGAAUUAUCCCAAAAUCCUCACCCACUAACCCCAAUUUCCAAUCUGAAAUCCAAAACCCUAGUUCAUCUGCUUUUCAAAUUUUGAAAUUGUUUUAGGGUUCAAUUUGAGUUGGAAUUUAUACCAAUCAACUGUUCUUAAUAAGAACAAUUGAUUAGUAUCAAUUUUAGCUCAUUUCAAGGACCGUCAAAUUUUCACUGAUUCAUCUGACUCCGGCGAAACCUCGACUCCCUUCACCGUUUAUCGAGUCGUCUUAAUUUAUUAAGUCAUUCAGGAAUAAAUUGAUAGCCUUCCUCUCUUUUCUCUCUUGAUUUUAUGUUCUUGCAUCAUUUUUUGUUUUUCUUGUCAUAUGUAUUAUUGCUUUUAUUUUUUUUGUUAUUUUGGUUUGUUGGAUUAGUCUUAGCUUGUCUUUGCUUUUAAUUAGUCAAUAACAUAAAUCAGGGGUUAAUUGAAAAGAAAAAUCAUUUAGUUCUGGGUAUUUUCCUUUCUUGUUAAUCCCUAAACUUGACUCUUGUUGAUCAUUUGGGCUGAUUGGAUUUUUCUUUUGAGCAUCUCUGGAAAGGAGCCCUUUCACUUCGGGUUAGGUUUUGGGUCUAAUUUGAUCCAUGUGUGAGUCAGUUUGGGGAGGUAAAUAUAGGGGUCUCAAGGAUUAUUUUGGUCAUUUUAACUUGAGGAAAUCUUGUCUAACCAAGUAAGAAAUUUCUACGAUGGUGGGGAAUGGGUAGUUCAACAAAAGUUUUAAAUUCAGUGUUCAAAUUGAACCAAAAGGGGAAGUGAUGAGCAGUAAUUUGGAAUGAAUUAAAUGAGAAUUUUCUGCCCUAAAGUUGUCUAUAAAAGGCUCAUUUCCUGCAUUUGUGAGGCGGUGAUUAUAAUACUAAAAAAUUAGAAAUGAGUCAAGUUUUCUACAUUUUUUUGGUUGGAAAUUGUUUGAAAUUGCCCUUUGAUUUUCAUUGUUGGAAGAGUUUAAAAGCUUCAAAGGAUCUCUACUUUGUAUGGGGGUUAAAAAUGGUUUGAAAGAGCUGAAUUUGAUGAGUUAAUGUGCUAAUUUACUGGUCUAGCUGAAAUCCUCACCUUAUUUUUUUUACUUUGACUUCCAGGUAUUCCUUGGCUCUUGAGUGAAAUAUGAAGCGCAAACCUGAAAUGUGUAACCAAGUUAGAAGAUUUAAGAAUGAACCUCAAUUUUACAGACUACUAAUCUAUGUGUUCCUUAGAGUUUUUCCAUGUCUAUGUAUUAAUUUCCAUCCUUUCAUGUCUAAUCCCUUUAAAUAUGUUGAUAUUCUUGUAUUUCAUCUUCAAAGUAUGGUUUAAGUAUAAAAUUGUUAUGUUAUUUUUGUGAUUGAGUUGGAGGUCUGUGUAUUAGGCAUUUAGAGGUUAUAUUCUGUAGUGCAAGUUGCUGUGAUUUUUACCAAGGAAAGUUUUAAAUGUUGCAUUUUAAACAUAUGUAAUCUUAAGCUAUGUUUUUAAUAUAAUUAACUUGUGAAAAUUGACUUGGGUUGUCAUGGGAGUAAGACGGCCGUUUGGUUUCGAGUGCAACUUAAUAUAG